GAUGAACGCUGGCGGCGUGCCUAAUACAUGCAAGUCGAGCGAACAGACGAGGAGCUUGCUCCUCUGACGUUAGCGGCGGACGGGUGAGUAACACGUGGAUAACCUACCUAUAAGACUGGGAUAACUUCGGGAAACCGGAGCUAAUACCGGAUAAUAUAUUGAACCGCAUGGUUCAAUAGUGAAAGACGGUUUUACUGUCACUUAUAGAUGGAUCCGCGCCGCAUUAGCUAGUUGGUAAGGUAACGGCUUACCAAGGCAACGAUGCGUAGCCGACCUGAGAGGGUGAUCGGCCACACUGGAACUGAGACACGGUCCAGACUCCUACGGGAGGCAGCAGUAGGGAAUCUUCCGCAAAGGGCGAAAGCCUGACGGAGCAACGCCGCGUGAGUGAUGAAGGUCUUCGGAUCGUAAAACUCUGUUAUUAGGGAAGAACAAAUGUGUAAGUAACUAUGCACGUCUUGACGGUACCUAAUCAGAAAGCCACGGCUAACUACGUG
rnacentral:rRNA from 1 species